rnacentral:lncRNA from 1 species
GGAAUCCACGCGACUUUCUGGAAUUUGGUCUGGCCCUGUGGUUUGGAAACUGUUGGAGCAAUGGAAUCCUCCAUCUAUCUGUCUGUCUAGCUCGCUGGCCAGUUCACAGUGUCACUGUGCGGGGCUGGGGAGGGGCUGUGAUUGGGGUUUGGGGCUGUGUUGCGUGACCAGGCAACUUCCUCCGGCUCCUCCUUCUUAGGGCAGUCAGGGCAGGAAGGCUUUCGCUUUCGAAGGCUCCAGAAAAACGCAUUGGUUUCGCAGGGAAGCUGGGCUCGGUACUGCGAUAGGUGAAGAGUCAAUCAUGAGCUGGUUCCAGAAACAGCUAGGCUGGAACACGAAGAACUAUAGCAGCAGCCAGGGGCUACAAAUGCCCAUAGGCAUCCCCAUUGCACUUGGAGUCCUGGCCCUCCUCGCCCUGCUGGCCCUGGCCUGUAACUGCCUCGCAGAGGCCUGGAAAUCCAAAUGGAGGCCCUGCUGCCAGAGGUGGUGGCACCUUCGCCCUGGAGAUGACCUGCAGCUUCUUCAGAGAGAUGACUUCUGCCAUGGCUGUGCGAACUUGGAAGAGGACCCUGCACUGACCGCAGCCUGAGACACUUUGGGCAGAGGACCCCUGUCUGCUCUCUCAGACCCCUGGGCCACCAAAUGUGUGAGAUAAUAAAUGGACAUUUUAAGUCGCCAAGUGUGUGAUGAUGUUUUGGGCAGCAAAGUGUAUGCCAGAGAGGACAGGC